ACCGGCGCACGGGUGCGUAACGCGUAUAGACCUACCUUUUACAGAGGAAUAGCCUUUAGAAAUGAAGAUUAAUGCCUCAUGGUCUGGCAUCAGUAAAGAUUUAUCGGUAAAAGAUGGCUAUGCGUCCUAUUAGUUAGUUGGUAAGGUAACGGCUUACCAAGACAGCGAUAGGUAGGGGUCCUGAGAGGGAGAUCCCCCACACUGGUACUGAGACACGGACCAGACUCCUACGGGAGGCAGCAGUGAGGAAUAUUGGACAAUGGAGGAGACUCUGAUCCAGCCAUGCCGCGUGUAGGAAGAAUGCCUAUGGGUUGUAAACUACUUUUAUACAGGAAGAAACACUGGUAUGUAUACCAGCUUGACGGUACUGUAAGAAUAAGGACCGGCUAACUCCGUGCCAGCAGCCGCGGUAAUACGGAGGGUCCGAGCGUUAUCCGGAAUCAUUGGGUUUAAAGGGUCCGCAGGCGGUCGAUUAAGUCAGAGGUGAAAUCCCAUAGCUCAACUAUGGAACUGCCUUUGAUACUGGUUGACUUGAGUCAUAUGGAAGUAGAUAGAAUGUGUAGUGUAGCGGUGAAAUGCAUAGAUAUUACACAGAAUACCGAUUGCGAAGGCAGUCUACUACGUAUGUACUGACGCUGAGGGACGAAAGCGUGGGGAGCGAACAGGAUUAGAUACCCUGGUAGUCCACGCCGA
rnacentral:rRNA from 1 species